UAUAAUCUACGUACAAUUGGUUUAAUCAUUGGUCAAAGUUUGACCUCGAAAAACGUGAGCACCAUUCUUUGUGAAAAUGAAUGAGUAUUUAGGACAUGGUUGAUCUGGUCUUCUCUAAUUCGUUCUCUCCGCUUGUGUUAGUGUAUACGUGUCAGGUGCGGAUUGGACAUGUAUUUCUUUUUUUUUUUGCGAGAAGGCCAAAGCCAUAUAUUAAGAUCAACCGACCCUUACAGAACCAUCUUUAAAAUAAAAGAAAAUUACACUCUGUAUUUCGUGUGAACCAAAACCUUUCAUAGUCGAUUCCUCUCUAUAUGUUGAAGUGUCAAUGUUUCAUGUAUUUUGAUGCAAACAUCAGCAAAAACUGGAGUACUCGUUUAUGGAAGCUAGUACUCCCAGUGUGUUUUUUACACAAUUGAAUCUAAUGAUGAUCAGGGCUGUGGU
rnacentral:lncRNA from 1 species